UUUUAAAACAAACCAUUGCCCAAUUUUUUAAAAAGAAAGCCCAGUUUUUUUUAACUCCCAUACGCCCCCACGUCUCUCUCCCUUCACCUCAUUCCAUUUUCUCCCAAACUCAAAGAAUCCCCAAAUUGCAGAGCCCUACACCCGCCGCUUAAAAUCAAUUGGCUCGCCUGGCCAUCGUCGGCCGUCAUCGCUGUAGGAGAGGAGACGAGACAGACGUCGCUGCUGUCCCUCGCCAGCCACCGCUCGCCGAGAAGCGCCGACGCUGCUGUCACGGGGCAGUCGGCGUAGUCGACGCUGCUGCUGUUCCCCAACAGUCGCCGGGUCAGCCUUCACCAGCUCCGCUGCUGCUGUCUCCCCGGCAGAAAUCGCCGCUGCAGCGAGAGGGUGGUCGCCAUUUAGCCGCUGCUGCUGUCCACCUUUCAUUGAUGCUCAGUUAUCUCUCGGACAGCCUCGAAAUGGCCCCGAACAGCCCCGAAACGGCCCCGAACAGUCCCGAUAAGAUAAGUUCUUUACAUUUCGUUACAUUCUUUCGCAUUUCAUUUAAUUACCGGGGAAGGGGUGUUGGAUUGUUUGAGAAUGAUUGAUUUGUUUGAUCGGUGUUACUUGUGUGGGAGAAUGAUGUGUUGAUGAUAUGCUAUGUAUAACAAAGAUCACAAGGGAAGGGAUUUAUACCUUCUAUGCUAUGAACUUGACCGUGAGGUUUGUAGGCUGAAAAGGGAGACUCCUUGAACUUGGCAGAUUAAAUUUCACGUCUGGAAUUGAAUUGAGAAUUUGGCAGCUCUUCAAAUUCUAGCUUUCUGUCGUGAAUCCGUGACUUGUAGUGAAUUAAAGAUGGAAGAUGAAGAAGUUUGAAAUUGGAGAGUCUCCAUAGAAGGGGUAUCGGCCAAGAGGGAGAAGGAAGAAGAAUGGAUUUUGGGCUUCCUCCCAUUUUUGGAAAAGAAUUGGACUCCCACACUUUAAUUAAAUUGUUUUGGGCUCAUUUGGUUGUAAGGCCCAAAUUUGUAUCAUUCUUUAUUUGUUAGACUUUUUGAUUGUUAUGGCCCAAAGCCAUUUUUAUAUAAACAUUUGGACUUCAAAUUUUAUUAAUUAUUUCACGACAUAUAUUUAAAUUAGUACUUAAAAA